CCCAGUGUGGUCUAGUGGUAUGGGUACUGGACUAGGACUCCAGCAGACCAGGGUUCAAAUCCUUUUUGGCCAUGGAA